UAACGUCAGCAGAGGGGUGGGCUGGCUUGGCCGACCUACGCCCCCUUCGGCCCUGAAGUGAACAGAACCCCGACGUGCCGGCUGGCGAGGGCCUUCCCCGCCUCCACGAACGGCCGCCGGGGUCCCGCGCCGCUGGGAGCGAGGUUGUCGAGGUCAGAAAGACAUUUAGGGAAAUAUUUGCCAAAUAGAGUCGGGUGGGGUCCAGCUCUCGUCCGUUCCCUAUACAGCCCGCGUGCGCUGACCACCUGCGACGUGCCUGGCACUGUUGCAGUUGCUGGGGACACAGUGUGCUUUGUCCCAAGACAGGACUGAGUGAUGAUGCCCGCGGCUGCUCCACGUCCUCGGGCUCAGCUGCAGGCGGCCUUCUCCAGGCCGGCUUCCUUGCCUGCGCCCAGCGAUCUGUGUCAUAGCGCCCAGAAUCGGGCCAGCGCCUACAACCGGGCUAGUACCUCUUGUGGAUGAGGACAGCAAACCUGGAGCUUGGACCCGGACCUCAUCAUCUCCGGAAAGAGUACCUGUGCACGAGCCCCCCUUCAGGUCCCCCUCUGCCACCAGAGCCACAGGUCCCCAACCUUUCCACUUCAUCCAGCCCUGUGAGGGGAGAAGGUCAGGGAGCACCCAGUGCCUCACCCGUCUUCAGGUACCUGGGCGGUGGAGAGGUCAGCAGUCCAGACCCUUCCCAUCAGGGCCUGCUGUCCUCCGAGAUUGGAGUGAGGCCCAACUCUGCUUUUAUUUUACUUGAGUCGGUUUUUCUUUCAUCCGCCACCAAUCCCGAAGCUCAACACUACGAUGUGUUGAAACUGUGUCCUGAUGUGUGUGUCAGACAUAAAGUAUUGUUACGUGUAUGUUGGUGUCUUCGGUGGACAGGUGCGAUUGUGCUGAUCUUGUAUCCACAUUUUAGCUUUCCAUCCCCCUAGGAUGAAACCCUCACCUUGCUUCCAGUUGCCCCACCCUAUGGACAGUCUACAGUGAGGACCCUCCUACAAGGCCCUCUCGGACUACAUGUAAGAGUCUGGGAGGUGCAUGCCCCAGAGUUGGGGUGUUAGCCAAAGGUCACCAGAUAGUGUUAAAGAGGGCUGCUAAAAGUUCUCUAGGUGGACUGUGCUGGUUCACCUCCCACAGAUGACACAGGCUUGCGAGAGCCAAUUGCUGAAUUUUCAGGAAUUUUAUAAGCUUGUCAUUAAACACUGCCAUUGUUAAAAAUGUAACUCCAGGGCUUCCCUGGUGGUGCAGUGGUUGAGAAUCCGCCUGCCAGUGCAGGGGACACCGGUUCAAGCCCUGGUCCGGGAAGAUCCCGCAUGCCUCAGAGCAACUAAGCCCGUGUGCCACAACUACUGAGCCUGUGCUCUAGAGCCCGUGAGCCACAACUACUGGGCCUGUGUGCCACAACUACUGAAGUCUGUGCGCCUAGAGCCCGUGCGCCGCAACAAGAGGAGCCACUGCAAUGAGAAGCCCAUGCACCACAACGAAGAGUAGCCCCCGCUUGCCGCAACUAGAGAAAGCCCACACGCAGCAACAAAGACCCAA